rnacentral:lncRNA from 1 species
GGAAAGACAAUCUGAUCGCAGUCCAUGCCUCUCACUGAGCAAGACAAGGUGACAGAGCAAGCAUUGAAAGGAAUCUGUGCAACACUUGGGAAUUCAAAAUUUCAUCAUUUUGUCAGGUUUUAAAUUGUGACAUCACCUUAUGUUUCUCAACCGGAAACACGCUCUCUAGAGAAUAUCAAAAAGAUCUGAGAAGCAGCAGCAUGGAGAGUGCAUCCAGCCCUGUGGCACUCCAGAGCUGUGGCCCUUAGGAAUUCUGCUGACAUGUACCUUGUAGUUGUACUUGUAAAACGAGGAACCCUCCCAGAUGCCUCUCCUCUGCAGAAGUGAAUUAACAUCCUGUCAUAGACCCUUUUCAGUUAUCUCAGCCCUGGGCUUGAGUGCAGAGUUCUUGUCAAUAAAGCCUGAUAAACAAAUGCAAUACUUGGAGUGUUUAAAAACACGGCAUCGGUUUUGUGGCUGUGAAUUUCAUUAACUCUCUAAGCAGAAUUGGACUUUUGCUGGUAAUUCAUUCAAAGCAAGUAGCCAGUGUGUAAAUCCUUAGUUCUGUGGUAAAGCCUGUGCAUGCAAAAUUAAACUGGAUGAAAUCUAGAAGCCUGUGUGGGUAUUUUGGGUAAAUUUACAGCUUUUGUACUCAGCCUUUCUUCUGAUGGAAUUAAUAAAUGUUUGGGAUUGUUGCAGCUGCAGUCAACUCCUGUAAUAUAUUGAUUAGCAUCAUAUUGACAAAAAAUUGGUCUCUGUUAACCAGGAACAGCACAGUGUUACACAGGUUACAAAAGUUAUAUAAAGUGUGCCGACAUGUUUGGAGAAGUGACACAUCACACACAGUCAAUAAUGAUGGAAAUUGGAGCAGAAUUCUCCAGCUCAGCCUUGAUUAUCUCGCAGAAAGUGAUCCUAGGCUUUUAGCGUGCACCAGAUGUGAUGGAUUUUAUCAUCAGCUGGUAUCUUUGAUUCAGCUGCAUUUAUUUCACCAGGACUCUACAGAUGUCUGCAAACCAGUACCUGGCCUUAGAUGUUAAACAAACAACAAAAUCAAGAUCAAAUAUGCUGCUGAGGAAGCAGAUUGAGCAACAUACAAGUAUUCUUCAUAAAAAUCAUUCAGCUGGAGUUAAUGAAUGUGAGCAUGAGGGGAUCAAUCAGCCCUGUGUAGGAAAUGAUACAGAAACUCAUCAUGCCAAGAGCUCACCACACCUUCAGCUCAGAUGCCUGAACAAAGUCAAGCCAUAAUUUAGCCCCCAAAUCUUACCAGGUGCUGCUAGAGGUAAAUCUGUGCUUGAGUGGAGUGUGGUUUACAGCCAAAAUUAUGGGUUUGGUUUGAGGUGGGUUGCAGGGAGGAUCCAAAAAAGGACACCCCUCAAACCUUCAGCUCUUCUGGAGAAACCUUGUCAGUACAGCACCAGGAUCUGUUGAGAUGGUAACCUGAAGCUUUUUAGGGCUGGUUGGUUUUCUCUUGUUAGAAAUAUCUUCAAACAUUUCUUAAAUGGCAGAAAAGUUGAAUGCUAUUUUCCAUGGAGUGGAG